GAAAUGCGAUAAGUAAUGUGAAUUGCAGAAUUCCGUGAAUCAUCGAAUCUUUGAACGCACAUUGCGCCCUCUGGUAUUCCGGGGGGCAUGCCUGUCCGAGCGUCAUUGCGAACCCCUCAAGCACGGCUUGUGUGAUGGGCCCUCCCGCGUCUUGGUCGUCAAGACGGGCCCGAAAUGCAGUGGCGGCUUCGCGGUUAUCCGAUCAGCCAGAGCGUAUGGGGACUUUCUCUCUGUCACACGCCCGCGGCGCGGACCGACGCCUGUCGCCCUUUAUUCAUCUUUUUCUCGGUUGACCUCGGAUCAGGUAGGGAUACCCGCUGAACUUAAGC
rnacentral:misc_RNA from 1 species